ensembl:snRNA U6 U6 spliceosomal RNA
CAGCUUGCGUCAGCACAUAUGCUAAAACUGGAACGAUACAGAGGUUAGCAAGGCCCCUGCACAAGGAUGAUACUCAAAUUCGUGAAGCAUUCCAUAUUUAA